rnacentral:rRNA from 1 species
GCAAAACGCGAAGAACCUUACCCGGGUUUGAACGUAGGGAGACAGGAGUGGAAACAUUCUUUUCAGCAAUGACUGCCUACGAGGUGCUGCAUGGUUGUCGUCAGCUCGUGCCGUGAGGUGUCGGCUUAAGCGCCAUAACGAGCGCAACCCUUAUUUCCAGUUACUAACAGGUCAAGCUGAGGACUCUGGAGAGACUGCCAGCGUAAGCUGUGAGGAAGGUGGGGAUGACGUCAAAUCAGCACGGCCCUUACAUCCGGGGCGACACACGUGUUACAAUGGUAAGGACAAAGGGCAGCUACCGGGCGACCGGAUGCGAAUCUCUAAACCUUAUCUCAGUUCGGAUCGGAGUCUGCAACUCGACUGCGUGAAGUCGGAAUCGCUAGUAAUCGCGAAUCAGAAUGUCGCGGUGAAUACGUUCCCGGGUCUUGUACACACCG